UUGAAAAUUUCCGUUGUGUUGCAACGGCGAAUUGUAGUUUCGAGAAGURCUUUCCCGGCGCAUUGAGCAUUGCCCAAGUUGCUUGGAACAGCACGUCGCAGAGGGUGACAACCCCGUACAUGGCAAUGCUCGAGCGCUCGCGAUGUGCUUUCGAAGAGUCGGGCUGUUUGGGAAUGCAGCCCAAAACGGGUGGUAAACUCCAUCUAAAGCUAAAUACAGGCACGAGACCGAUAGCGAACAAGUACCGUGAGGGAAAGAUGAAAAGGACUUUGAAAAGAGAGUUAAAAAGUACGUGAAACCGUUGAAAGGGAAGCGAAUGGAGUUAGCAAUUCGCCCAGCCAGAUUCAGUUGCUCGCGCCUCGCGACGAGCACGCUCUCGAUCCGCAUGGACGAGACGUGCUCGGGUGCGACGUGUGGACGGCGCACUUCUGGCAGGCGAGCGUCAGCGUCGGUCGUCGACGAGCGAUAAGGUCGCAAGCAAGGUAGACGUGCCUUCGGGCGCGUUGUUAAUAAGACUCGCGUUCGUAUAGCUCGACGGCGACCGUGGCUUCUUCUCGACGACGCGUGCCUGGCUGGCGACUCGCGCGUUCGGUCCGGCAUGUCGACUACGGCGGACGGCACGCCUGUGCGCUCGAACUGCUGCCGGUCGCUCGCACGAUGCUCGCACACAACG
rnacentral:rRNA from 1 species